rnacentral:rRNA from 1 species
GGGUGAGUAACGCGUAGGUAACCUGCCUGGUAGCGGGGGAUAACUAUUGGAAACGAUAGCUAAUACCGCAUAAUAUUAAUUAUUGCAUGAUAAUUGAUUGAAAGAUGCAACUGCAUCACUACCAGAUGGACCUGCGUUGUAUUAGCUAGUAGGUGAGGUAACGGCUCACCUAGGCGACGAUACAUAGCCGACCUGAGAGGGUGAUCGGCCACACUGGGACUGAGACACGGCCCAGACUCCUACGGGAGGCAGCAGUAGGGAAUCUUCGGCAAUGGACGAAAGUCUGACCGAGCAACGCCGCGUGAGUGAAGAAGGUUUUCGGAUCGUAAAGCUCUGUUGUAAGAGAAGAACGGGUGUGAGAGUGGAAAGUUCACACUGUGACGGUAUCUUACCAGAAAGGGACGGCUAACUACGUGCCAGCAGCCGCGGUAAUACGUAGGUCCCGAGCGUUGUCCGGAUUUAUUGGGCGUAAAGCGAGCGCAGGCGGUUAGAUAAGUCUGAAGUUAAAGGCUGUGGCUUAACCAUAGUACGCUUUGGAAACUGUUUAACUUGAGUGCAGAAGGGGAGAGUGGAAUUCCAUGUGUAGCGGUGAAAUGCGUAGAUAUAUGGAGGAACACCGGUGGCGAAAGCGGCUCUCUGGUCUGUAACUGACGCUGAGGCUCGAAAGCGUGGGGAGCGAACAGGAUUAGAUACCCUGGUAGUCCACGCCGUAAACGAUGAGUGCUAGGUGUUAGGCCCUUUCCGGGGCUUAGUGCCGCAGCUAACGCAUUAAGCACUCCGCCUGGGGAGUACGACCGCAAGGUUGAAACUCAAAGGAAUUGACGGGGGCCCGCACAAGCGGUGGAGCAUGUGGUUUAAUUCGAAGCAACGCGAAGAACCUUACCAGGUCUUGACAUCCCGAUGCCCGCUCUAGAGAUAGAGUUUUACUUCGGUACAUCGGUGACAGGUGGUGCAUGGUUGUCGUCAGCUCGUGUCGUGAGAUGUUGGGUUAAGUCCCGCAACGAGCGCAACCCUUAUUGUUAGUUGCCAUCAUUCAGUUGGGCACUCUAGCGAGACUGCCGGUAAUAAACCGGAGGAAGGUGGGGAUGACGUCAAAUCAUCAUGCCCCUUAUGACCUGGGCUACACACGUGCUACAAUGGCUGGUACAACGAGUCGCAAGUCGGUGACGGCAAGCUAAUCUCUUAAAGCCAGUCUCAGUUCGGAUUGUAGGCUGCAACUCGCCUACAUGAAGUCGGAAUCGCUAGUAAUCGCGGAUCAGCACGCCGCGGUGAAUACGUUCCCGGGCCUUGUACACACCGCCCGUCACACCACGAGAGUUUGUAACACCCGAAGUCGGUGAGGUAACCUUUUAGGAGCCAGCCGCCUAAGGUGGGAUAGAUGAUUGGGGUGAAGUCGUAAC